UUGACCUCAAUCAGGUAGGACUACCCGCUGAACUUAAGCAUAUCAAUAAGCGGAGGAAAAGAAACUAACAAGGAU
rnacentral:rRNA from 1 species